ACUAGUAUCAAGCUACAGUGUUUAAAGAAGUGAAUGUCAUAUUUCUUUGGAUAUCGUUAUAUUCAAUUUUUGUUGAAGUCAUAUUAGUAAUUCCUUUGGUUAUCGCAUUAUAUUCAAUUUUUGUUGAAAGUCAUAUCAGUAGCCAUUGAAAAAGACAACUGUCGAAACGCGUCUGGCUGGACACUUUUUAACAAAAUUUCUUUCUCUUUUAUCUAUAAAAGAAACGGACCAUUUGAACAAAAUGUGUACACGUCAGAUACAUUCUUCAUGAUGUAUACUGUUUUAGUUACAUACUUUUGAAAAUUACAGUAUUAUGUUUGUCAUUGUUUGACUUUUGUA